rnacentral:rRNA from 1 species
UGGCGACCGGCGCACGGGUGCGUAACGCGUAUGCAACCUACCUUUAACAGGGGCAUAACACUGAGAAAUUGGUACUAAUACCCCAUAACAUCAGGACCGGCAUCGGUUCUGGUUGAAAACUCCGGUGGUUAUGGAUGGGCAUGCGUUGUAUUAGCUGGUUGGUGAGGUAACGGCUCACCAAGGCAACGAUACAUAGGGGGACUGAGAGGUUAACCCCCCACAUUGGUACUGAGACACGGACCAA